rnacentral:rRNA from 1 species
AUGCUGCUUCCCAAGAGCACAUUUGUCGCAGUAUUGCUCGACCCGAUCAAUCGCGGGCAUUCCACGCACCAUCUGCUUCGAAGACAUGGCUCGGAGGGCGCAGAAGUGGAGGUGACCCAGGCGGGCGUGCCAACGCCAGGUCAGGUCGUCUCCUUGUGCCAGCAGGCAAGCUGGUGCAUCCAUGGUGAGUGCGCCAGUGUACAGACGGUUGCCAGACCGCCUGAUGCUUGCCAAUGUGCGGCGAGCUGGGUCUCUGAUGACCAUGAGCCCGUCCUGAAUGCUGAUGACGCAGCCCGCCUCGUCCAACUGGCCAACCGAGACGAUGUUCGUACGAAGACUCGGGAUGAAGAAGACGCCAGCGAGCGCACGCUGAUCACCACCCUGGCAGCGGAACACCACCGUGCCUCGUCCACGGAUGGCCACAACAGAGCCGUCGCCGAACCUCACCGUGCCGUGCACAUCCUCGUCGAGGGACGCGAAGACGCCCCUGUCACCCGUCACGUGGCUGCUUGCACCUGUGUCAAAGAACCACAGACCAUCCGGAGAGGGCACGGGCAUGACUUUUUCCUCAUUGAGAUACACCUCUUGGGGUGCCACGACCUGCGUAGCAUCGACGCUGGUGACCACGGCCAUGUACAGGCCCUGAUCGUGCUCCGCGUUGGCCUCCGCAAGGUUGGCCUGCUCCUGAUUGCCCUUCUGCUCCUGCUCGCGCAGCCACGUUCGGCACUUCUUCUUCCAAUGUCUUGGAAUACUGCAAUGAUGGCACUUGCCUUUCUUUUUCUUGCUGCCAGACCCGCCAGAGCCGCCCGCGCCCGUGCUCCCGGACGCGCCUUUGCCGCCACCGUGAGGCUUGGCCCUGGCGUGCCCCUUGUUCUUGCCAGUGUUGCCGCCGCCGCCUCCAGACGACGAGCCACUGCCGCCGCCCACCUUCUCGCGGGCCAGCCACUCCUCGUGAGUGAGCAAGAGACGCCCGGCAGGCUACGCGCCGUCGUCCAGAUCGUAGUGGUCCUCGCAUGCAGAGAAGCGACCGACGAGUUCCUCGAUCGUCAUGGCCUUCAGAUUGAGAAGUGA